GGUUCUCGUGAUUAAGAGUAGAAUGGUUAUGUGGAAUGAUUAGUUGUGUUGGUUGCAUUAAUUAACAUAGGAGAUCGAACUAAGUAUUAUGCCAUAGAAAAAUUAGGCUCUGAGAAAAAUGAUUUCCAAUGCUAUAUGAUGGGAGGUCAAACCAUUCAACGUCUGAUCUAAAAGGACCGAUCGAUCAAAUUUUUGCGGCUUUUAAAGCAAGGAUGAUCACUAUCGCACCAAUAAAUCUGAACGAUUUGAUGGUGCCAUGGGGUCAUGCAUUUGGGCCGCUGAGGAAAUCUUCUUGGUUUAUUUCCGGUUCGUUCCCGGCCCAUUAAAUCCCUAAGCGGUAACCGCCUUGCUCUCUUCCGGCUCCCCCAUCUCCCCGAGAAACCAAGAAGGCCGCCGGUUCCGGCUUCUCUUCUCGUCAUUGGCUUGGAGUCUGUCAACAUGGUGGGAUAACAGAGGUGUCUGUGUUCUGUUCUUCACCAGGUCAGCACCAUGAUGAGGCAUACUAACCAAACAUGUCCAAUGGGAUGUAGUACCUGGACAAGGUCUAAUAUGGUGCCAGAGCAAGCCGUUGUUGGGAAAAGGGUGUAUAUGACAUGACUUUCAUACCAUGCAAAAGGACGGAGCGGGAUCAUGGUGAGACCCAAAUGCCAGUUGACGGUGGUGGUGAGGGAAACCACUCCUGAAGAGGAAGCAAAGAUUGCCAAACUCCAAGUCAGCAGGAAACUCACAAGGCGCGAGAGGCAGCUCCCGAAGAAGAAUCAAAGAUUGCCAAGUUCCAAGUCAUCGAUUUCAAGAAACUCGCAAGGCGCAAGGGGCGGCUCGUUUCACAUCAGCUCUAUAGAGACCACACCAAGGUGGGAUAGGAAAGGGAUGGAUGCUGCUGCACUGUCAUACUGCCAUGAUUGUGUUCUGAUGUUUUACAUCAUGGACAAAAUUUGGCAUGUUUCGACUUGCACAGCGAUCAUCACAGUUCGAAAGAAAGAAAAAAAAGGAAAUAAUCUUUGUAGCAGCAGCUUGUUUGGCUGCAUUAUAUCAACCAUGUUUGUAUCUCUCGUUUUUUUUUUUUUUUUUUUUUUCAUGUUGUAGUUAGAUAUCAUCCUUGCCAAGCAAAAUGCUGUAGCAUUUUUUUACUGAUACAGGGUACCCCUAUUAGAUGUCAUGAUUUCACUUUUGAAUUGUUUGA